CACGUAGGGCGCAAGCGUUGUCCGGAUUUACUGGGCGUAAAGGGCGCGCAGGCGGUCUUGAAAGUCAGGCGUGAAAGCCCCGGGCUUAACCUGGGAAUUGCGCUUGAUACUCUGAGACUGGAGUACGGGAGAGGAGAGUGGAAUUCCCAGUGUAGAGGUGAAAUUCGUAGAUAUUGGGAAGAACACCAGUGGCGAAGGCGGCUCUCUGGACCGUAACUGACGCUGAGGCGCGAAAGCGUGGGGAGCAAACAGG
rnacentral:rRNA from 1 species